CAGUCGAGCGGACAGAAGGGAGCUUGCUCCCGGAUGUUAGCGGCGGACGGGUGAGUAACACGUGGGUAACCUGCCUGUAAGACUGGGAUAACUCCGGGAAACCGGAGCUAAUACCGGAUAGUUCCUUGAACCGCAUGGUUCAAGGAUGAAAGACGGUUUCGGCUGUCACUUACAGAUGGACCCGCGGCGCAUUAGCUAGUUGGUGAGGUAACGGCUCACCAAGGCGACGAUGCGUAGCCGACCUGAGAGGGUGAUCGGCCACACUGGGACUGAGACACGGCCCAGACUCCUACGGGAGGCAGCAGUAGGGAAUCUUCCGCAAUGGACGAAAGUCUGACGGAGCAACGCCGCGUGAGUGAUGAAGGUUUUCGGAUCGUAAAGCUCUGUUGUUAGGGAAGAACAAGUGCAAGAGUAACUGCUUGCACCUUGACGGUACCUAACCAGAAAGCCACGGCUAACUACGUGCCAGCAGCCGCGGUAAUACGUAGGUGGCAAGCGUUGUCCGGAAUUAUUGGGCGUAAAGGGCUCGCAGGCGGUUUCUUAAGUCUGAUGUGAAAGCCCCCGGCUCAACCGGGGAGGGUCAUUGGAAACUGGGAAACUUGAGUGCAGAAGAGGAGAGUGGAAUUCCACGUGUAGCGGUGAAAUGCGUAGAGAUGUGGAGGAACACCAGUGGCGAAGGCGACUCUCUGGUCUGUAACUGACGCUGAGGAGCGAAAGCGUGGGGAGCGAACAGGAUUAGAUACCCUGGUAGUCCACGCCGUAAACGAUGAGUGCUAAGUGUUAGGGGGUUUCCGCCCCUUAGUGCUGCAGCUAACGCAUUAAGCACUCCGCCUGGGGAGUACGGUCGCAAGACUGAAACUCAAAGGAAUUGACGGGGGCCCGCACAAGCGGUGGAGCAUGUGGUUU
rnacentral:rRNA from 1 species